rnacentral:misc_RNA from 1 species
GACAUGUUGGAAAUAGGAUCAUAUUUUGGAUUUAUGAGAUGAUUUAUAAAUCAAAUUCACUUCCCUUCUUACAAUUAUGCAUGAGUUUGCAGAAUUAAAUACAGAAAACAUUUCACCAUAUAGGGUGAAGGUUUAGCCUUUGGAGCUUGGACUACGUACUGGUCAUGGGGUUGAAAUGUCCACAAAAAGGGUAACCAUAAACCUAUUAUAAAUAGCCAUGAAUUUCUAACACCAAGUUUAAAUGAUAAAAGGCAAAUUAGCUAUGAUGUUUUGAAUUUCGAUAAAUUCAAAUUUGCAGCUAGAAUUUGACAGCCAUGCAUACAAUAUCACCUUCCAAACUGCAUACAUAAAUAGUCUAUUACUGUUUAAAGGAAAAUCAAGAAAUUAGCAUCAAUUCAUUUUAUGGAUCCUCUUCUAUCAAAUAGUAAAAGGCUUGGGCUUGGCUGCAUAUCAAUGCUCUUGGGCACCCAGUUACAUAAAUUAAAAUUGAAGGCCAAAAUUGUUUACCAAGUUUCCUUUUCAGCAUCCUCUUUUAGUACAAGAAGUAACUGGGUAUCAGGCUCUCACGUAAAAUCCGUUGUAUAUAACUAAACAUGUUUAGCAACUGACCUAACCUCCAAGGACCCAUUUGUGGUCAGAUGUGUGAGCCAUGGACUCCCAUAUAAUGACCUAAUGCAACUCCUAGGGAUGAACAUCAAAUGAAAGUCAUCUCAUCAAUUAUGAGCAGAAAUACCAACAAUAAAUGCAAGACUACAUCAAAUUCAAGAAGGCCAAAAUGAAUUGGCCCAGACAUCCAUCACGCAUAAAAUGUAUUUAGGAGAAUACUGACAAAGGCAUAAAGGAAGACAUGGAUUUAGAUAAGCUACAAGACAGAUCCUUGAUUUAAUUGAAUUUUGUAAAUGCCUGGACAACUACAACUUGAAAUCAUAAUUCCAUAGCGCUUAGCGCAUUUGAAUUUGAAGGACAAGCUAACAAAUUGUGAGAACAAUAAGCCGCUGGUGAACCAUCAAAUCAUCUUCAAUAUCUAAACAAUGUAGAGAAACCUACAUCUUACAGAAUGAAUCAAUAUGCCAAAUGAUGUCAGUGAAGUUGAAUGAUUACCCAUCAAAUGACUGUCAGAAACUGAAAUAGCUGAUGAUCAA